rnacentral:rRNA from 1 species
AUUGAACGCUGGCGGCAGGCCUAACACAUGCAAGUCGAGCGAGAGGCGGACGGGGGAGUAAUAUGUCGGGAAUGCGCGAUAUGGGGGGAUAACAACUGGAAAAGGGAGCUAAUACCGCAUACUAUCGGAUAACCCAUAGGGGAUUGGCGAGUAGGUGGGGUAAUGGCUCACCUAGGCGACUAGCCCUAGCUGGUCUGAGAGGAUGAUCAGCCACACUGGGACGGAGACACGGCCCAGACUCCUACGGAGGCAGCAGUGGGGAAUAUUGCACAAUGGGCGCAAGCCUGAUGCAGCCAUGCCGCGUGUAUGAAGAAGGCCUUAGGGUUGUAAAGUACUUUCAGUGGGGAGGCGUUACCGACAGAAGAAGCACCGGCUAACUCCGUGCCAGCAGCCGCGGUAAUAC